GAUGAACGCUGGCGGCGUGCCUAAUACAUGCAAGUCGAGCGAACGGACGAUAAGCUUGCUUCUCUGAUGUUAGCGGCGGACAGGUGAGUAACACGUGUAUAACCUACCUAUAAGACUGGGAUAACUUCGGGAAACCGGAUCUAGUACCGGAUAAUAUUUUGAACCGCAUGGUUCAAAAGUGAAAGACGGUCUUGCUGUCACUUAUAGAUAGAUCCGCGCUGGAUUAGCUAGUUGGUAAGGUAACGGCUUACCAAGGCAACGAUGCAUAGCCGACCUGAGAGGGUGAUCGACCACACUGGAACUGAGACACGGUCCAGACUCCUACGGGAGGCAGCAGAAGCGCAUCUUCCGCAAUGGGCGAAGGCAUGACGGAGCAACGCCGCGUGAGUGAUGAAGGUCUUCGGAUCGUAAAACUCUGUUAUUAGGGAAGAACAUAUGUGUAAGUAACUGUGCACAUCUUGACGGUACUUAAUCAGAAAGCCACGGCUAACUACGUG
rnacentral:rRNA from 1 species